CCAAACUGGGAUUAGAUACCCCACUAUGCUCAGCCCUAAACAUAGAUAGCUUACAUAACAAAACUAUCUGCCAGAGAACUACUAGCAACAGCUUAAAACUCAAAGGACUUGGCGGUGCUUUACAUCCCUCUAGAGGAGCCUGUUCUAUAAUCGAUAAACCCCGAUAUACCUCACCACUUCUAGCUGAAUCAGUCUAUAUACCGCCAUCUUCAGCAAACCCUCAAAAAAGGAAGAAAAGUAAGCACAAUAAUAAUACAUAAAAAAGUUAGGUCAAGGUGUAACCCAUGAAGUGGGAAGAAAUGGGCUACAUUUUCUAACCAAGAAUACACUCACGAAAGUUUUUAUGAAAACUAAAAACUAAAGGUGGAUUUAGUAGUAAAUUAAGAAUAGAGAGCUUAAUUGAAUGGGGCCAUGAAGCACGCACACACCGCCCGUCACCCUCC
rnacentral:rRNA from 1 species